rnacentral:rRNA from 1 species
UUAAGGACGUAGCGUAUUUACGAAAAGUUGUGAUGAGAAACGCAAUCUACUAUGAAUCACAAAUCUCCUAGGGUAAACCAUACGUUUUAGUAUUUACUACUAAAUUAAUUGAAACAUCUUAUUAGUUUAAGGAAUAGAAAUCAAACGAGAUUUCAUUAGUAGUGGCGAGCGAAAAUGAAUUAGAGUACAUACAAUAAAAAAGUUAAAUAAUUUGAAAUAAUUAACUAUAAAAGGUUAAAGUCCUGUAAGCUUUUGCGUAUAUUUGUAGUAGAAGAGAUUUCGAGGAGAUCUCUUUGAAUAUUGGAGGACCAUACUUCAAACUCUAAAUAUCUUCAUAUGACCGAUAGAAUAAAGUACUGUGAAGGAAAGAUGAAAAGAAUUCUUAGAUGGAAGUGAAAAGAUUUUGAAAUCUAAUACUCUCAACCGACCGAAGUAUUUAAAAUAUGACGGUGUGCCUUUUGUAUCAUGCAUUAGCGACUUUAAAUUUACAGCAAGCUUAAAUUGUUAAAUGUAAGCGUAGUUAAAGCAAGUGUUCAGUAUACACUAAAUAGUUGUAAAUUUAAGACCCGAAUCCAAGUGAUCUAGUUAUGAACAGGUUGAAUGCAUAAUAAUUUAUGUUGGAAGACCUAACUCGUAACUGUUGCAAAAG